rnacentral:lncRNA from 1 species
UAUAGAAUUAGUUCAUUUCUCUCCUCCGUGGCCAAUCUUAAAAGACUUUCUUCGUCCUGUAAAAGUUCCUCUGAGAUCUCUUCUUUCUUUAUGCUACCAAUCUCCUUGUUUUGUCUCUCUAGAUCCUUCAUAUUUCUGUAGAUCUUAAUUGUUUCUGUAAAUCUGACACAGAUGCAAUGGGAUGUGCGAUAUGUUGGAUUGUGUUUCUGUGAGAGGAGGAAU